AUUGAACGCUGGCGGCAGGCCUAACACAUGCAAGUCGAACGGUAACAGGAAGCAGCUUGCUGCUUUGCUAACGAGUGGCGGACGGGUGAGUAAUGUCUGGGAAACUGCCUGAUGGAGGGGGAUAACUACUGGAAACGGUAGCUAAUACCGCAUAACGUCGCAAGACCAAAGAGGGGGACCUUCGGGCCUCUUGCCAUCGGAUGUGCCCAGAUGGGAUUAGCUAGUAGGUGGGGUAACGGCUCACCUAGGCGACGAUCCCUAGCUGGUCUGAGAGGAUGACCAGCCACACUGGAACUGAGACACGGUCCAGACUCCUACGGGAGGCAGCAGUGGGGAAUAUUGCACAAUGGGCGCAAGCCUGAUGCAGCCAUGCCGCGUGUAUGAAGAAGGCCUUCGGGUUGUAAAGUACUUUCAGCGGGGAGGAAGGGAGUAAAGUUAAUACCUUUGCUCAUUGACGUUACCCGCAGAAGAAGCACCGGCUAACUCCGUG
rnacentral:rRNA from 1 species